rnacentral:rRNA from 1 species
UACGGGGGGGGCAAGCGUUGUUCGGAAUUAUUGGGCGUAAAGGGUGCGUAGGCGGUUUGAUAAGUCACAUGUGAAAUCUUCGGGCUCAACCCGAAGUCUGCAUGCGAAACUGUCGGGCUUGAGUAUGGGAGAGGUGAGUGGAAUUUCCGGUGUAGCGGUGAAAUGCGUAGAUAUCGGAAGGAACACCUGUGGCGAAAGCGGCUCACUGGACCACAACUGACGCUGAGGCGCGAAAGCUAGGGGAGCAAACAGG